CACACACACACACUCAUACUGAGAGAGAGAAACAAAAGCUAAGAGAGAAAUGGCAGAGAUGCAGAAGAGGACCAUGACACUACUGGAUGUGAAAUCAUCCAAUCAUCUACCUCAGUUUCCUAUGUAUAUAGUUCCACCACCAGACUAAAGGCUACUAGUGUUACCUGCCAGACUGCGCUUGCUAAUCCACCCCAGCCUCACCUUGCCACCUGGCUCACUCUGCACCAACAAAACACCCUCGUUUCUACUCAGCACAGCGAGACAGUCGUUGGCACUGUGGCCCCAUAACAAGGGGGAUGGAAUCCAGUGGUCAGCUUAAACCCAGGUGUACCCUGCCCUAUGGUAGCUGGGGUAGGCUCCAGUGACCCUGAUAGGGAGAAGUGGAAAAGAAUGAAUGGAUGGAGGUUCAAAACAAUAAUGUAGGAGGGGAAGUGGAUGGAUGAAAAAUGGAUAGAUGCUUCCAUUUCUUCACUUUUAAGGAGAAUAAGCCCAACGAGAAAUGUGAUAUUAGUCAAUGAAAAAUUGUACAAUAAGACAUCACAUUUUCUGAUACAAAUGAGUAAAAAUUAUAGAAGAAACUGACUGACACUGACUGACACUGGGUUUAAAUGGAAAGGACAUUCAUGGUUUUUAGCACCAGAGUGGUACAAGGUUGCCAAUCUGUAAUAAGAUCCUUGACAAUAAUUCUUUCCACUAUGCAAUCAAAAUUAUAUGGAUGCAGUUACUUUCAGGGAUGUCAAGUCUUCCUUUAGGAAAACAAUUAUGUGACACUAAAACACAGAAAGCAAUAACUCGUAAUGUCAGUGAACGAGUGCACUAGUGCAGCUCAUCCUGACUGAACUGGAUUGCAGUUUAGAUCAUCAUGUCAUGGGGAGGAAGUAACAUGUUCAGAAAUUCAAAUAUACCAUUUCUCCUUACUUUAUACAGUACAUGAUGUAUUUAUUUGUUGCAAAAGUUUGAAACAUUUUGUGUUUUGCAUUCUACUCUUCAUUCAUUGUUUGUUCCAGUCCCAGUGACAUCUUGACAUAUUUGCAUCUUCUUCUGACCUUGUGACAUUUUUGAAAAUGUUUAUCAAAGGACACAAUAUGCAGGCACAAGGAUUGGCAGGUGGGAGCACUGACAUGAAGAUUUAAUGUAGAAGCUACACAUACCGAUGCACGAUGCCAGUAGGGGGGAUAGGAAGAUCCAAUAAAUAAAUAAAAUCCAAAAAGCAACAGGAUCUAUCCAAAAGGCAGGGAACACACAAGAAAACAGGGACAAAGAGCACACAGAGGUAAGGAUAAUAACUAACAGUUACCUCAGUAUAGACAGAGGAAAGUAAAAAUGAAAGGCUAAAAUAUCAGUCAUCCAGUGCUCAGUGAAGUUACCGAAGUAGCAGUAAUUCAAAGUUAUGCUAACUGGCUCAUGUUAGACUACUGUCAGUUUCAGCUGAUAAGGCAUGUUUGAUGUGAAGGAUAGCCAAAUGUUGCAGGGGUUGCAGUGUUGCUGCACUACCACAGAGGUUGACUCCACAAAAGAAACUGAAAUACAAUAAAAAUCAACAUUAAGUCAAUAAAAUAAUUAAUAAAAGGCAAAUUACUUCACACAAGCAGAAAUGAGAUAAAAUGAUAAUUCAGGAUCUAGACAACUGAAGCUGAGCAUAAUGAUUUUAGUGCUUUUAAAUACUAAUAAUGUUGGAGCACAUCCAAUAUGAUGGGUGAGCUCCAGCAAUUUAGAAAAGGUAAAAUUGAUGAUUCACAGAUUGGUGAGCAAUGUGCCUUGUGAUGAGUUUUUCAGUGUGUACUGUUAGGUUAAUAACAAAAAAAUCUUACUCAUCUUAAUCUUUGUAAUAAUGACAGUUUCUGUAAACAUCACUGCUCCUGUAAUAUUACUGUGUAUUCAUUCUAUUGUGUUUUUAUUACAUUAUGCUUCUGUUUGUACAAAAUAUACAUAGGUAACAGUGAGCAUGCAGUUAUAUACAGUUUUUCACUGUGUAAUCUCAUUUAUUUGAUGAAUUAUCUGUAUUUUACUUACCUUAUUUUUCA